rnacentral:rRNA from 1 species
GUCCACGCUGUAAACGAUGGAUGCUAGAUGUUGCGGGUAUUGACCCCUGCGGCGUCGCAGCUAACGCAUUAAGCAUCCCGCCUGGGGAGUACGGCCGCAAGGCUAAAACUCAAAGGAAUUGACGGGGGCCCGCACAAGCGGUGGAGCAUGUGGUUUAAUUCGACGCAACGCGAAGAACCUUACCUGGGUUAAAUCCGCUGGAAUCCCGCAGAAACGUGGGAGUGCUCUUCGGAGAGCCAGCGAGACGGUGCUGCAUGGCUGUCGU